UACGUAGGGUACGAGCGUUGUCCGGAAUUACUGGGCGUAAAGGGCUCGUAGGCGGCCAACUAAGUCAGACGUGAAAUCCCUCGGCUUAACCGGGGAACUGCGUCUGAUACUGGAUGGCUAGAGGUUGGGAGAGGGAUGCGGAAUUCCAGGUGUAGCGGUGAAAUGCGUAGAUAUCUGGAGGAACACCGGUGGCGAAGGCGGCAUCCUGGACCAAUUCUGACGCUGAGGAGCGAAAGCCAGGGGAGCAAACGGG
rnacentral:rRNA from 1 species